rnacentral:rRNA from 1 species
CGCAAGCCUGACGGAGCAAGACCGCGUGGGGGAGGAAUGCCUUAGGGUUGUAAACCCCUUUUAUCUGGGAAGAACAAAAUGACGGUACCAAAGGAAUCAGCCUCGGCUAACUCCGUGCCAGCAGCCGCGGUAAUACGGAGGAGGCAAGCGUUAUCCGGAAUGAUUGGGCGUAAAGCGUCCGCAGGUGGCAAUGUAAGUCUGCUGUCAAAACCCAGGGCUCAACUCUGGUCAGGCAGUGGAAACUACAUAGCUAGAGUGCCGUAGGGGUAGAGGGAAUUCCCGGUGUAGCGGUGAAAUGCGUAGAGAUCGGGAAGAACAUCGGUGGCGAAAGCGCUCUACUGGACGGCAACUGACACUCAGGGACGAAAGCUAGGGGAGCG